GAAGCGCUGAUAAGCUAUCCCGAGCGAUGCAUACCGCGAUAUGAAACGCAUAUUUUGUAACAAAAGCUUGCUCCGUUGUUCACAUGGUGUUGUUUGUUUGUCACGGUUAAGUACAUUAAAAGCCCUGGUUUUCCUAAAAUUUGCCGACAUUAAUGGGCAUACAUUCAACUAAAAAUUGCAAUAUUAGUGUGACAAAUUGUGCCGGCCCGCUAUCGCUUGCUUUUCCCGCUGAUUGCCAGGGUCAAUCAUUGCCGUUAUGUCUUACCUUUCUACUUACAUGGCAGGAUAUAUGUUUAUCAAAACAUUUUAUCUGGUACACUUGAAGUGCAUAACACAACUGAAGCACUGACUGCAAAUCAAAGGAUCCCCACAAGACCGGAAGAAAGUGCCCUCCGCAGGAAAUGCAUGGUUGAUUACGGUAAUCUUUGGGCGCUUUAUCACUGCAGUUUUUGUUAAAUUUCGUUUAGAGCGUUUACUUACUGUUUUGUUCGUGCAUGUGUUACUUAAUUUCAGAUUUAAUGCCCUUUUUAAGACUUUUUCCUUAGUCGACUUUAGAGCAAGAUAAAAUAAGCAAAUUAGUAAACUAGCUAUUUGUUACCCAAACUUGCUUCCGUAUGCGUUCUGCAUCCAGAUUUUGCUUUGGCUCACAUAAUUGUCCAGUAUUAUGAUAAUGCAUUUAUUUUAUGCAUUAUGGCAGCGUUUUCAAUAAUUACUCAGUCAUAAUAUAUGCAGUAAGCAAUAAGAAUCAUAAUACGAGGCUUUGUACGAGUUUCUGUAGAAUAGACAUUGAAUUUGAGCGCGGUUUGCGCCGAUACAUCAUACUACUGAUUAUCGAGGGAAUCAUGAUUACGUUAUCCCUGCGCAUUAAUUAUUCAUGGUUUAAUAAAGCGGAACUUGCUGCGAACGUUACUGUGUUAUUUUGACACCUACGGCACACUCCAACGCAGGAGUUGUAUAGCAUCCUGCGGAUCAUCCCCGCUUGACGACUUGCUUGGCUAAUUGUCGCUUGCUCCUUCGUUUAACCUCUAACUGCUCUGUAACAUUUGCCACCUCAUCAAUGACUUACUGUAUUUUCCAAUAUCGGCGAAAAUUAAAUAAAUGUUUUUUGAACUGUCCAGCAGCUCGGCGACGAGGAUUGCCACAGCGAAGUCGUAUAUAGAAGUUGCGGUAUUACCGUUUUGGCUUAUCAUCUACACUCCUUUAUUCAGUUUAUUGAUUUCUACCGUUCUUCACACAAUAAAUUAGUAACGAGGUUUAUUAUUUUAAAUAAACACCAUCGCUCAGUAUCUGGAGUUUAUUUAUUUGCAGUGCGUUUUGACACUGGCAGUUACUAUUGCAAUACAACAGUGCGGUUUAUGAUAAAUGUUUACGAAACAAAAUAUAAACAUGAAUUACGGUA